GCUGCCAUGGUCUAGUGGCUAAUGUUGCUGUUUUAGAAUUUCAUGGCGUGGGUUCGAUUCCCUCUGCUGUCU